CAGCAGCCACGGUAAUACGAAGGGUGCAAGCGUUACUCGGAAUUACUGAGCGUAAAGCGUGCGUAGGUGGUGGUUUAAGUCCGUUGUGAAAGCCCUGGGCUCAACCUGGGAAUUGCAGUGGAUACUGGGUCACUAGAGUGUGGUAGAGGAUAGUGGAAUUUCCGGUGUAGCAGUGAAAUGCGUAGAGAUCGGAAGGAACAUCUGUGGCGAAGGCGACUAUCUGGGCCAACACUGACACUGAGGCACGAAAGCGUGGGGAGCAAACAGGAUUAGAUACCCGAGUAGUCCCUGUCUCUUAUAC
rnacentral:rRNA from 1 species